UCUCACGAUGAUGAUAUUUUUUCCACCUUUAAUGAUAUUGAUGAUUUGGAUUUUAACAUGCACUACCAUCUGAGUGUGU